rnacentral:rRNA from 1 species
CACGUAGGGCGCAAGCGUUGUCCGGAAUUAUUGGGCGUAAAGAGCUCGUAGGCGGUCUGUCGCGUCGGCUGUGAAAACCCGGGGCUCAACCCCGGGCCUGCAGUCGAUACGGGCAGACUAGAGUGCGGUAGGGGAGACUGGAAUUCCUGGUGUAGCGGUGAAAUGCGUAGAGAUCGGGAAGAACACCAGUGGCGAAAGCGCUCUGCUGGACUGCAACUGACACUGAGGGACGAAAGCUAGGGGAGCGAAAGGG